rnacentral:rRNA from 1 species
UAGGGAAUCUUCCGCAAUGGGCGAAAGCCUGACGGAGCAACGCCGCGUGAGUGAAGAAGGAUUUCGGUUCGUAAAGCUCUGUUGUUAGGGAAGAAUGAUUGUGUAGUAACUAUACACAGUAGCGACGGUACCUAACCAGAAAGCCACGGCUAACUACGUGCCAGCAGCCGCGGUAAUACGUAGGUGGCAAGCGUUGUCCGGAAUUAUUGGGCGUAAAGCGCGCGCAGGUGGUUUAAUAAGUCUGAUGUGAAAGCCCACGGCUCAACCGUGGAGGGUCAUUGGAAACUGUUAAACUUGAGUGCAGGAGAGAAAAGUGGAAUUCCUAGUGUAGCGGUGAAAUGCGUAGAGAUUAGGAGGAACACCAGUGGCGAAGGCGGCUUUUUGGCCUGUAACUGACACUGAGGCGCGAAAGCGUGGGGAGCAAACAGGAUUAGAUACCCUGGUAGUCCACGCUGUAAACGAUGAGUGCUAGGUGUUAGACCCUUUCCGGGGUUUAGUGCCGUAGCUAACGCAUUAAGCACUCCGCCUGGGGAGUACGACCGCAAGGUU